AGGGUCUCUACAAGGUGUUGAAAGCCUUCCACAGGGUCUCUACAAGGUGUUGAAAGCCUUCCACAGGGUCUCUACAAGGUGUUGAAAGCCUUCCACAGGGUCUCUACAAGGUGUUGAAAGCCUUCCACAGGGUCUCUACAAGGUGUUGAAAGCCUUCCACAGGGUCUCUACAAGGUGUUGAAAGCCUUCCACAGGGUCUCUACAAGGUGUUGAAAGCCUUCCACAGGGUCUCUACAAGGUGUUGAAAGCCUUCCACAGGGUCUCUACAAGGUGUUGAAAGCCUUCCACAGGGACUCUACAAGGUGUUGAAAGCCUUCCACAGGGACUCUACAAGGUGUUGAAAGCCUUCCACAGGGUCUCUACAAGGUGUUGAAAGCCUUCCACAGGGACUCUACAAGGUGUUGAAAGCCUUCCACAGGGUCUCUACAAGGUGUUGAAAGCCUUCCACAGGGACUCUACAAGGUGUUGAAAGCCUUCCACAGGGUCUCUACAAGGUGUUGAAAGCCUUCCACAGGGACUCUACAAGGUGUUGAAAGCCUUCCACAGGGUCUCUACAAGGUGUUGAAAGCCUUCCACAGGGACUCUACAAGGUGUUGAAAGCCUUCCACAGGGUCUCUACAAGGUGUUGAAAGCCUUCCACAGGGACUCUACAAGGUGUUGAAAGCCUUCCACAGGGACUCUACAAGGUGUUGAAAGCCUUCCACAGGGACUCUACAAGGUGUUGAAAGCCUUCCACAGGGACUCUACAAGGUGUUGAAAGCCUUCCACAGGGUCUCUACAAGGUGUUGAAAGCCUUCCACAGGGACUCUACAAGGUGUUGAAAGCCUUCCACAGGGUCUCUACAAGGUGUUGAAAGCCUUCCACAGGGACUCUACAAGGUGUUGAAAGCCUUCCACAGGGACUCUACAAGGUGUUGAAAGCCUUCCACAGGGACUCUACAAGGUGUUGAAAGCCUUCCACAGGGACUCUACAAGGUGUUGAAAGCCUUCCACAGGGUCUCUACAAGGUGUUGAAAGCCUUCCACAGGGACUCUACAAGGUGUUGAAAGCCUUCCACAGGGACUCUACAAGGUGUUGAAAGCCUUCCACAGGGACUCUACAAGGUGUUGAAAGCCUUCCACAGGGACUCUACAAGGUGUUGAAAGCCUUCCACAGGGACUCUACAAGGUGUUGAAAGCCUUCCACAGGGACUCUACAAGGUGUUGAAAGCCUUCCACAGGGACUCUACAAGGUGUUGAAAGCCUUCCACAGGGUCUCUACAAGGUGUUGAAAGCCUUCCACAGGGUCUCUACAAGGUGUUGAAAGCCUUCCACAGGGACUCUACAAGGUGUUGAAAGCCUUCCACAGGGUCUCUACAAGGUGUUGAAAGCCUUCCACAGGGACUCUACAAGGUGUUGAAAGCCUUCCACAGGGUCUCUACAAGGUGUUGAAAGCCUUCCACAGGGUCUCUACAAGGUGUUGAAAGCCUUCC